UACGUAGGGUGCAAACGUUGUUCGGAAUUACUGGGCGUAAAGCGCGUGUAGGCGGCUCGGAAAGUCGGGUGUGAAAGCCCUGGGCUCAACCCAGGAAGUGCACUCGAAACUCCCGAGCUCGAGUCCCGGAGAGGAAAGUGGAAUUCUCGGUGUAGAGGUGAAAUUCGUAGAUAUCGAGAGGAACAUCUGUGGCGAAGGCGGCUUUCUGGACGGUGACUGACGCUGAGACGCGAAAGCGUGGGGAGCAAACAGG
rnacentral:rRNA from 1 species